rnacentral:rRNA from 1 species
GACGAACGCUGGCGGCGUGCUUAACACAUGCAAGUCGAACGGAAAGGCCCUGCUUUUGUGGGGUGCGCGAGUGGCGAACGGGUGAGUAACACGUGAGUACCCUGCCCUUGACUGUGGUAUAACUUCAGGAAACUGGGGCUAAUACCGGAUAGGCGCUCCUUCUGCAGGGUGGGGGGUGGAAAGUUUCGGCGGUUGGGGGUGGUCUCGCGGCUUAUCAGCUUGUUGGUGGGGUUGUGGCUUCCCAAGGCUUUGGCGGGUAGCCGGCCUGAGAGGGUGCCCGGCCACUUUGGGACUGAGAUACGGCCCAGACUCCUCCGGGAGGCAGCAGUGGGGAAUAUUGCACAAUGGGCGGAAGCCUGAUGCAGCAACGCCGGGUGCGGGAUGACGGCUUUCGGGUUGUAACCCGUUUUCGUCUGUGACGAAGCGUGAGUGACGGUAAUGGGUAAAGAAGCACCGGCUAACUACGUG